rnacentral:lncRNA from 1 species
UGGAAGCUCCUUUGGUCGAGUGGUGUUGAGUAAGGGUUUCGUAAUGCUUUUACACCAGGAGGUUUGGGGUUCGAACCCAAAUAGCGUGAUUUAUUAAUAUAUCUGCAGAUUUAUUAAUAUAUCUGCAGAUUAAUAGAGACAAGUUUACAUGAGAUCUCCAGUGAUGCGCAAUUAGAGCCAUUCGCCGUGAUUCUAGCUAUUGAAGAAGAAGAUGGUGUCCAAGAUCAGCAUGAAGAAAUAGGCGUUCAAGAUCAGCAAAGAAGUGUUGUCAAUAGUGAAUGUAAUAGGGUCGGAAGGAAUUAUCCAUGGUAGAUUAUCUUUGUAACAAUUCUCACAGUUUGCAAUAAUUAAUAAAUCUAAAGACGAUAAAAAAAAGAUUAUAUAAAUAUAUUGGAGAGAGAUUUGAUUUAUUAGAGAGAGAUUUUUAUUACAAAAUGUACUUCAAAAAUGUAUAGAUAGAUACACAUACCUGUAAUUUAUUUGCUUGAUGUAUAUACAAAUAAUUAUUUU